rnacentral:ncRNA from 1 species
AAACAUUCGUUGAUGCAAAAGAGUAAUCAAAAGGAAAUUUUUACAGAGAAUUGCCGUUUGGUGAGAGGCAAAAAAGGAACUUUGAUGAAAAGAGUUGCUGAGAUAAAAAGGACAACGGGCUUAGCCUUAGUAUCUUUUUUCGAGUUCUCCACGUUACAGGAGAUAGAGUUAGUUGUUUUAUCGACUUAAUUAGAGUGGCACCACGGGUAUAUGCUCGUCUCUUUC